CCUACGGGAGGCAGCAGUGAGGAAUAUUGGUCAAUGGACGAGAGUCUGAACCAGCCAAGUAGCGUGAAGGAUGACUGCCCUAUGGGUUGUAAACUUCUUUUAUAUGGGAAUAAAAUGUUCCACGUGUGGGAUUUUGUAUGUACCAUAUGAAUAAGGAUCGGCUAACUCCGUGCCAGCAGCCGCGGUAAUCCGGAGGAUCCGAGCGUUAUCCGGAUUUAUUGGGUUUAAAGGGAGCGUAGGUGGAUUGUUAAGUCAGUUGUGAAAGUUUGCGGCUCAACCGUAAAAUUGCAGUUGAAACUGGCAGUCUUGAGUAUAGUAGAGGUGGGCGGAAUGCGUGGUGUAGCGGUGAAAUGCUUAGAUAUCACGAAGAACUCCGAUUGCGAAGGCAGCGCACUGGACUGCAACUGACACUGAGGCUCGAAAGUGUGGGUAUCAAACAGGAUUAGAUACCCGAGUAGUC
rnacentral:rRNA from 1 species